AUUGAACGCUGGCGGCAGGCCUAACACAUGCAAGUCGAGCGAGAGGCGGACGGGUGAGUAAUGUAUGGGGACUGCCCGACAGCGGGGGGUAACUACUGGAAACGGUAGCUGAUACAGCAUACUAUCGGCGAACAGAUAUGGGAUUAGCUAGUAGGUGGGGUAAUGGCUCACCACGGCGGCGAUCCCUAGCUGGUCUGAGAGGAUGAGCAGCCACAUUGGGACUGAGACACGGCCCAGACUCCUACGGAGGCAGCAGUGGGGAAUAUUGCACAAUGGGCGAAAGUCUGAUGCAGCCAUGCCGCGUGUAUGAAGAAGGCUCUAGGAUUGUAAAGUACUUUCCGUCGGGAUGCGGUACCUAAAGAAGAAGCACCGGCUAACUACGUGCCAGCAGCCGCGGUAAUAC
rnacentral:rRNA from 1 species